rnacentral:rRNA from 1 species
AUUGAACGCUGGCGGCAGGCCUAACACAUGCAAGUCGAGCGAGCGGCGGACGGGUGAGUAAUGUCUGUGAAACUGCCUGAUGGAGGGGGAUAACUCCUGGAAAAGGUAGCUAAUACCGCAUACCAUCAGAUGUGCCCAGAUGGGAGUAGCUAGUGGGUGGGGUAACGGCUCACCUAGGCGACGAUCCCUAGCUGAUCUGAGAGGAUGACCAGCCACACUGGAACUGAGCCACGGUCCAGCCUCCUACGGGAGGCAGCAGUGGGGAAUAUUGCACAAUGGGCGCAAGCCUGAUGCAGCCAUGCCGCGUGUGUGAAGAAGGCCUUCGGGUUGUAAAGCACUUUCAGCGGGGAGGCGUUACCCGCAGAAGAAGCACCGGCUAACUCCGUGCCAGCAGCCGCGGUAAUUC